rnacentral:rRNA from 1 species
CCUACGGGAGGCAGCAGUGGGGAAUAUUGCGCAAUGGACGAAAGUCUGACGCAGCAACGCCGCGUGAGGGAUGACGGCCUUCGGGUUGUAAACCUCUUUCAGCAGGGACGGAGCGAGAGUGACGGUACCUGCAGAAGAAGGACCGGCCAACUACGUGCCAGCAGCCGCGGUAAUACGUAGGGUCCGAGCGUUGUCCGGAAUUAUUGGGCGUAAAGGGCUCGUAGGCGGUUCGUCACGUCGGGAGUGAAAACUCGGAGCUCAACUCCGAGCCUGCUUCCGAUACGGGCAGACUAGAGGUAGGCAGGGGAGAGCGGAACUCCUGGUGUAGCGGUGGAAUGCGCAGAUAUCAGGAAGAACACCGGUGGCGAAGGCGGCUCUCUGGGCCUUACCUGACGCUGAGGAGCGAAAGCGUGGGUAGCGAACAGGAUUAGAUACCCUGGUAGUCCACGCCGUAAACGUUGGGCGCUAGGUGUGGGGGACAUUCCACGUCCUCCGUGCCGCAGCUAACGCAUUAAGCGCCCGCCUGGGGAGUACGGCCGCAAGGCUAAAACUCAAAGAUAGUGGCGNGUUGAGUAGCGACGACGACGACGAGGAGGAGGAG